GACGAACGCUGGCGGCGUGCCUAACACAUGCAAGUCGAACGGUCCGGCACUCAACCGACCCUCAGUCUAGCUGUAGGUGAAGUUGAGUGCCGGAUAGUGGCGGACGGGUGAGUAACGCGUGGGCAACCAACCCUGUACAGUGGGAUAACACCGGGAAACCGGUGCUAAUACCGCAUGACACCUAGAUGGUGCAUACUGUUUAGGUUAAAGGAUUUAACCGGUACAGGACGGGCCCGCGUCCCAUUAGCUGGUUGGUGAGGUAACGGCUCACCAAGGCGACGAUGGGUAGCCGACCUGAGAGGGUGACCGGCCACACUGGGACUGAGACACGGCCCAGACUCCUACGGGAGGCAGCAGUGGGGAAUAUUGCGCAAUGGACGGAAGUCUGACGCAGCGACGCCGCGUGAGCGACGAAGGCCUUCGGGUCGUAAAGCUCUGUUCUUGGGGACGAAUAAAAUGACGGUACCCAAGGAGAAAGCCCCGGCUAACUACGUG
rnacentral:rRNA from 1 species